UGGGGAAUAUUGCACAAUGGGGGAAAGCCCUGAUGCAGCGACGCCGCGUGAAGGAUGAAGUAUUUCGGUAUGUAAAGCUCUAUCAGCAGGGAAGAUAAUGACGGUACCUGACUAAGAAGCUCCGGCUAAAUACGUGCCAGCAGCCGCGGUAAUACGUAUGGAGCAAGCGUUAUCCGGAUUUACUGGGUGUAGAGGGUGCGUAGGCGGCACAGCAAGUCAGAUGUGAAAGACCGGGGCUCAACCCCGGGGCUGCAUUUGAACUGCCGAGCUUGAGUCCGGGAGAGGCAGGCGGAAUUCCUAGUGUAGCGGUGAAAUGCGUAGAUAUUAGGAGGAACACCAGUGGCGAAGGCGGCCUGCUGGACCGGAACUGACGCUGAGGCACGAAAGCGUGGGGAGCAAACAGGAUUAGAUACCC
rnacentral:rRNA from 1 species